rnacentral:rRNA from 1 species
GACGAACGCUGGCGGCGUGCCUAAUACAUGCAAGUAGAACGCACAGUUUAUACCGUAGCUUGCUACACCAUAGACUGUGAGUUGCGAACGGGUGAGUAACGCGUAGGUAACCUGCCUGGUAGCGGGGGAUAACUAUUGGAAACGAUAGCUAAUACCGCAUAAUAUUAAUUAUUGCAUGAUAAUUAAUUGAAAGGUGCAAUUGCACCACUACCAGAUGGACCUGCGUUGUAUUAGCUAGUAGGUGAGGUAACGGCUCACCUAGGCGACGAUACAUAGCCGACCUGCGAGGGUGAUCGGCCACACUGGGACUGAGACACGGCCCAGACUCCUACGGGAGGCAGCAGUAGGGAAUCUUCGGCAAUGGACGAAAGUCUGACCGAGCAACGCCGCGUGAGUGAAGAAGGUUUUCGGAUCGUAAAGCUCGGUUGUAAGAGAAGAACGGGUGUGAGAGUGGAAAGUUCACACUGUGACGGUAUCUUACCAGAAAGGGACGGCUAACUACGUG